AUAGUACUCCCUCCGUCCGGAAAUACUUGUCAAAGAAAUGGGUAAAAAUGAAUGUAUUUAGAACUAAAAUGUGUCUAGAUACAUCCAUUUCUCCGACGAGUAUUUUCGGACGGAGGGAGUAAUUC
rfam:Triticum urartu cultivar G1812 contig277990, whole genome shotgun sequence.